UAAGCAUCAAGUUACAACAUAAACUCCCUCUUGGAGAGAAAAAAAAAAAAAAAGAAACCCAACCUUGCAACAUCUCUACCAAGUGCAACGAAAAAACACAAAUUGACAAUUUCCUUUUCUGAUGGUAAGGGAAGGCUGUCAUGAAUGCAUGAAAGUUGGUUUUGACGAUGCAAAUAACAUUGCCUCUUUCUCUUCCUAUUUCAGCAAAUUCAAUUGAAAAGAGUUCUACCACACAGAUAGGCCUGAAUUUAACUCAAGGGGAUAUUUAUCUAUCCGUCCUGCAAAAAAGAAACUGAAUUCUUUUAGAUAACACGCAGCUUUCAAUUUUUUCCAAAAAAUUAUAAUACACCCACCAAUGUCUUUUUUUUUUUAUUUUUUUCCCCCUUUUCAUUUUCAGAGCAAAGAGAAGGAACUGAAGAUUUUUCUUCAAAGACCAACUCAUUUCACUAGGAAUGAAAAACAUAUCACAUACUCAGAAGCAACAUAUUCCCCUCAAAAUUAUAGAACAAUAAAUCUAUAGUGCAUCACAGAAGCAACCAUUUGGCAUGUUCAGUAGGAAUUAAUGAUAACCAUGGGUCAUCAAAUAGCAAGACAAAGCCAUAUGGGAAUUAAAGAAAAGGCACAACAAGGUAGGAAUCAACCCUUAUGAUUCAUGCUCAAACACCGUCAAUUUAACUAGAGGUCACUUCUCAAUUAUGUGCCCCCAUUAAGCCAGAAUAACAAGUGUUCCUUUUAUGAACAAAAUAACACAAAAAGAAUGUCUCAAGUUAAAAGCAUUCGACAAACAAGGAACAAAUUGACAAUAUUUGAUAGGGAAAAUGAUAAACUUUCAAGCAUUGAAAAGGAAAUGAAAAUGCUAUCCACUACAGCUAAAAGUUAAUUUCACAUGCAAGGCAUUGGAGAUACUAUUCCCUGCAUUGUAUCAAGUCAACUUACAAAAUUUAAUAUCCCAAAGAACAUGAUCACCGUACGGUUUCAGAAGCAGCUCUCAGUUCUCCAAUACAAUCGUCAUGGAAAUAUGCAUUUAACAUUUUUCACCAGUCUUGCAUGUAGCACUUUCAAAUGUCACACUUCUUCCACCAGGAUGACAAAGCUUCUACUCCACAGCUAUGACGUGAGGAGGGCCAAUCCACAAAGAAGUUAAAAAAUGAUUAACUGAAUACAUGUAAUAUGUGCGCCUAUGCAUGUAUGUGCACCCAUGAGCCAUGCAUAGCCUACCGUGCAAUUUUUACAUCCUAGUCCAACAAAAAAGCUACUCUAGUAAUAAAUUGAGUGCAUUUGAACAUAGAAAAUAUCUGAGCAGCAAGAGGAUUCAUCAAAUAGUUCCUUUUCCAUCAGACAAAAAUUUAGAAUUGGAAAAGCUCGCAAACCUGCUUCAUGAGUAAGCUGACACACACGUACUACAAGUGAUGACCUAACUGCAUUAUUAGUGCCAGCCAAAAGAA
rnacentral:misc_RNA from 1 species